rnacentral:misc_RNA from 1 species
GAUGAAGAACGCAGCGAAAUGCGAUAAGUAAUGUGAAUUGCAGAAUUCAGUGAAUCAUCGAAUCUUUGAACGCACAUUGCGCCCCUUGGUAUUCCGAGGGGCAUGCCUGUUCGAGCGUCAUUAUAACCCCUCAAGCUCAGCUUGGUGUUGGGGCCUGCCGCACGGGCAGCCCUUAAAAUCAGUGGCGGUGCCAUCUGGCUCUAAGCGUAGUAAUUCUUCUCGCUAUAGAGUCCCGGUGGAUGCUUGCCAUUAACCCCCAAUUUUCUAUGGUUGACCUCGGAUCAGGUAGGGAUACCCGCUGAACUUAAGCAUAUCAUAAGCGGAGGA